GACGAACGCUGGCGGCGUGCCUAAUACAUGCAAGUCGAACGCAGUGGGGACGGGUGAGUAACACGUGGGUAACCUCCCAUCAGAGGGGAUAACACUUGGAAACAGGUGCUAAACCGAUACACAUGGAUGGAACCGGGGUGGAUUAGCUAGUUGGUGGGGUAACGGCCCACAAAGGCCACGAUGCAUAGCCGACCUGAGAGGGUGAUCGGCCACACUGGAACUGAGACACGGCCCAGACUCCUACGGGAGGCAGCAGUAGGGAAUAUUCGACAAUGGGCGAAAGUCUGACCGAGCAACGCCGCGUGAGUGAAGAAGGUUUUCGGAUCGUAAAGCUCUUUUGGUAGGGAAGCGGUAUCUAACCAGAAAGCAACGGCUAACUCCGUGCCAGCAGCCGCGGUAAUAC
rnacentral:rRNA from 1 species